GUGCUUGUUUCAACAGCACAUAUACUAAAAAUUGGAACAAUACAGAUAAGAUUGGCAUGUCCCUUGCACAAGGAUGACACCCAUAUUUUUAAGUAAAAUUCAGUGGAA
rnacentral:snRNA from 1 species